GCAGUCGAGAAUCAUUCGCAAUGGGCGAAAGCCUGACGAUGCGACGCCGUGUGAACGAUGAAGGCCUUCGGGUUGUAAAGUUCUUUCGCCUGGGAACAAGAAAGGCCGACGAACAAUCGGUUGAUUUGAGGGUACUAGGUAAAGAAGCACCGGCUAACUCCGUGCCAGCAGCUGCGGUAAUACGGAGGGUGCAAGCAUUAAUCGGAUUUAUUGGGCGUAAAGGGCGCGUAGGCGGGGAAGAAAGUCAGAUGUGAAAGCCCAGGGCUCAACCUUGGAACAGCAUUUGAAACUACUUUUCUAGAGGGUAGGCGGAGAAAACAGAAUUCCACGUGUAGCGGUGAAAUGCGUAGAUAUGUGGAGGAAUACCGGUGGCGAAGGCGGUUUUCUAGCUUAUACCUGACGCUAAUGCGCGAAAGCAAGGGGAGCAAACAGGAUUAGAUACCCCCGUAGUCC
rnacentral:rRNA from 1 species